UCACCAUACAUCUUCCUGCUAACCAAGACUGAGGAAGUAAAACACGUCUUCUUGUCCACCAGUGAAGGGAUUGGUGGAAAUAACAGUAUCG
rnacentral:ncRNA from 1 species